CUGAGGAAUCAUAUUCACAAAUCAUUUUUCUGCUUUACUUUGUGUUUUUCUACCAUAAAAUAUAUUUGUAUUGGAUUUCUGCAUAUUUUUGGCAAUGGCAUCACUUCAAAAUAUUGCUGAGCAUCGCAAAUGAAGGUUCAGGUUGAGAAUAUGCUUUGCACAUGAAGCCAAGGGUCUACAAGAUUAACCAAACUCUACAAGGACAUGAAAGAGUGUGACAGAAGCAGAAAACACUGGAGAAAUUCACCCUGAAGCUGGUUUUGAUAAUACAAACACAUUUAAGUUUCUGUCCAGUAUGUGAACGACCAAGAAGCGAUUUCUGAAGACACAUUUGAGGAUGAUAAUAUAUUAAUUAGGCCUACUGUAAAGCUUUCAGUGCAAUGCAUGGAGAACCAGAGAGGCCUUCAUGGGCAAAUUGUGUAUGAUGAUGUGUCAUACCCCAUCUAUCUCCAACCUCAGGCUGAGCCAGAUGAUGAUGAAGGCAUUGUAAUCGACACAGAGGAAGAUAA